UACGAAGGGGGCUAGCGUUGCUCGGAAUUACUGGGCGUAAAGCGCACGUAGGCGGAUUGUUAAGUCGGGGGUGAAAUCCUGGAGCUCAACUCCAGAACUGCCUUCGAUACUGGCGAUCUCGAGUUCGGGAGAGGUGAGUGGAACUGCGAGUGUAGAGGUGAAAUUCGUAGAUAUUCGCAAGAACACCAGUGGCGAAGGCGGCUCACUGGCCCGAUACUGACGCUGAGGUGCGAAAGCGUAGGGAGCAAACAGG
rnacentral:rRNA from 1 species